GGACGAACUUUGCGCCCCGGCCUUCGGGCGGUUAUUUUUGGGCGCGGCUGUGCCCGCGGCCUAUUUUUGGCACACGGAGGCCGCUCGCAAAGUCUCGCGCCAUUCCGAGUCCGGCGGACGAAGUUGGCCAGCCCCACCACCCAAGGCUAUAGCCCACCCGUUUUUGUGGCCUUUUUCCGCUGGACGAACUUGGCGCCCCGGCCUUCGGGCGGUUAUUUUUGGGCGCGGCUGUGCCCGCGGCCUAUUUUUGGCACACGGAGGCCACUCGCAAAGUUUCGCACCAUUCCGAGUCCGGCGGAUGAAGUCGGCCAUCCCCACCCCCCAAGGCUAUAGCCCACCCGUUUUUGUGGCCUUUUUCCGCUGGACGAACUUGGCUCCCCGGCCUUCGGGUGGUUAUUUUUAGGCGCGGCUGUGCACGCGCCCAAUUU
rnacentral:lncRNA from 1 species